rnacentral:rRNA from 1 species
ACUCGAGUGGCGAACGGGUGAGUAACACGUGGGUGAUCUGCCCUGCACUUCGGGAUAGGCUUGGGAAACUGGGUCUAAUACCGGAUAGGAGCCAUCUUUAGUGUGGUGGUUGGAAAGUUUUUUCGGUGUAGGAUGAGCUCGCGGCCUAUCAGCUUGUUGGUGGGGUAAUGGCCUACCAAGGCGGCGACGGGUAGCCGGCCUGAGAGGGUGUACGGCCACAUUGGGACUGAGAUACGGCCCAG